GACGAACGCUGGCGGCGUGCCUAAUACAUGCAAGUCGAACGCUGUUGCGAACGGGUGAGUACCGCGUAGGUACCUUCCUCAUCGCGGGGGUUAACUAUUGGAAACGAUAGCUAAUACCGCCUACUGUGAGAUGGACCUGCGUUGUUUUAGCUAGUUGGUGAGGUAAAUGCUCACCAAGGCGACGAUACAUACCCGGCCUGGGAGGGGGAUAGGGAAAAACGGGAAUGGGACAAGGCACAGACUCCUAAGGGAAGGAGGAGUAGGGAAACUUCGGGAAUGGACGGAAGUCUGAACAAGCAACGCCGCGGGAGUGAAGAAGGGUUUCGGAUCGUAAAGCUCUGUUGUUAGAGAAGCGGUAACUAACCAGAAAGGGACGGCUAACUACGUGCCAGCAGCCGCGGUAAUUC
rnacentral:rRNA from 1 species